rnacentral:rRNA from 1 species
UGGGGAAUAUUGCACAAUGGGCGAAAGCCUGAUGCAGCAACGCCGCGUGAGUGAUGAAGGCCUUCGGGUUGUAAAGCUCUGUCUUUUGGGACGAUAAUGACGGUACCAAAGGAGGAAGCCACGGCUAACUACGUGCCAGCAGCCGCGGUAAUACGUAGGUGGCAAGCGUUGUCCGGAUUUACUGGGCGUAAAGGAUGCGUAGGCGGAUUUUUAAGUGAGAUGUGAAAUACCCGGGCUUAACUUGGGUGCUGCAUUUCAAACUGGGAAUCUAGAGUGCGGGAGAGGAGAAUGGAAUUCCUAGUGUAGCGGUGAAAUGCGUAGAGAUUAGGAAGAACACCAGUGGCGAAGGCGAUUCUCUGGACCGUAACUGACGCUGAGGCAUGAAAGCGUGGGUAGCAAACAGGAUUAGAUACCCUGGUAGUCCACGCCGUAAACGAUGAGUACUAGGUGUAGGAGGUAUCGACCCCUUCUGUGCCGCAGUUAACACAAAUCAAGUACUCCGCCUGGGAAGUACGAUCGCAAGAUUAAAAACUCAAAAGGAAUUGACGGGGUCAAUAGCUGUUUCC